CAUAAUGAAAGAGUCUAUUUUGAGUCCUCAAAAGUAGUGCUGCUGCAGACCAUGAGCAAGAGAGAACGAGUGGACUUCAGCCUGCACGAAUGAUCUUGAAUCACGAAUGGUCUAGGCAACUUACACUGAGAUUCUCUACUGCCGCCCUUUCUACUCAAGCAAAAUCUGUGUGGAAAGAUCCACUAGGAAGGAAUUGACCACCUGUGGUUCUCCGUUGUGAUGAAAGCACAUGGUACAGUUUUCCAAAGAAAUUAGACCAUUUUCUUGGUGAAAAGAAAUCAACCUGCCGUGUUCGUAGGGUA